CCACGUCUAUUAAUGAGGUUGGAUCAUGCGCUCCAGAUUUUUUCUUUUUUUAUAAUUUCUGUUUUGUUUUCUUUAAAUCCAUUUAUUUUCAAAAAUUCAUAACUCCUUUAUUUGGAAUCACAAAAAUAUGGGACCAAUUUUUAAAAUCUAGUUUCAUAAUCUGAUUUUUAAUUACUUUUGGGAUUCCAAUUAAUAUUUUUUGU
rnacentral:lncRNA from 1 species